rnacentral:rRNA from 1 species
AUUGAACGCUGGCGGCAUGCCUUACACAUGCAAGUCGAACGGCAGCACGGGUGCUUGCACCUGGUGGCGAGUGGCGAACGGGUGAGUAAUACAUCGGAACAUGUCCUGUAGUGGGGGAUAGCCCGGCGAAAGCCGGAUUAAUACCGCAUACGAUCUACGGAUGAAAGCGGGGGACCUUCGGGCCUCGCGCUAUAGGGUUGGCCGAUGGCUGAUUAGCUAGUUGGUGGGGUAAAGGCCUACCAAGGCGACGAUCAGUAGCUGGUCUGAGAGGACGACCAGCCACACUGGGACUGAGACACGGCCCAGACUCCUACGGGAGGCAGCAGUGGGGAAUUUUGGACAAUGGGCGAAAGCCUGAUCCAGCAAUGCCGCGUGUGUGAAGAAGGCCUUCGGGUUGUAAAGCACUUUUGUCCGGAAAGAAAUCCUUGGCCCUAAGACGGUCGGGGAUGACGGUACCGGAAGAAUAAGCACCGGCUAACUACGUG